rnacentral:lncRNA from 1 species
CGCAGCAGCAGAGGCUUCGAUGCCGGAGUUUGAUGUGGUCGUCGAUCUCAGCGUUCCGGGUCCGUCGAUGAGCAGCGAGUUUCAACACAGCUACCAGCUGCGGUCGCGCAUUCCGCGACCUCCAAAUGCUUUCAUGCUGUUUGCGCAG